CCUACGGGUGGCUGCAGUGAGGAAUUUUGGUCAAUGGCCGGAAGGCUGAACCAGCCAUGCCGCGUGAAGGUCAGUGCCCUAUGGGCGUUAAACUUCUUUUGUGCGGGAGCAAUAAUGGUCACGUGUGGCCAGACGAGAGUACCGUACGAAUAAGCAUCGGCUAACUCCGUGCCAGCAGCCGCGGUAAUACGGGGGAGGCAAGCGUUAUCCGGAUUAAGUGGGUUUAAAGGGUGCGUGGGCUGUGAGGUAAGUCAGCGGUGAAAUACCGCCGCUCAACGGGGUGAAGUGCCAUUGAUACUGCCAUGCUGGAGUGCGAAUGACGUGAGAGGAAUUUGUGGUGUAGCGGUAAAAUGCAUAAAUAUCACACAGAACACCAGUUGCGAAGGCGUCUCGCGGAGCCGCGAUUGACGCUGAUGCACGAAAGCGUGGGUAGCAAACAGGAUUAGAUACCCCUGUAGUC
rnacentral:rRNA from 1 species